UACAGAGGAGCCAAGCGUUGUCCGGAUUGACUGGGCGUAAAGCGCACGCAGGCGGAUGCGCGCGUGGGGUGUGAAAUCUGGCCGCUUAACGGCCAGGCGCCAUCCCAUACGGCGCGUCUGGAGUGAUGCAGAGGUCGAUGGAAUUGCCGGUGUAGUGGUGAAAUGCGUAGAGAUCGGCAGGAACACCCAGGGGGAAACCAGUCGACUGGGCAUCUACUGACGCUGAGGCGCGAGAGCGUGGGGAGCGAACCGG
rnacentral:rRNA from 1 species